CAUCAACAUGUGUUAUACGAAGAGUAGGAGGAGCGAUGAUGUGUGUUUGAAGGUUGGAAGUUCGUAUGGUGGAUAAAUAAGAAGUCAGAUUAUUUACUGAUUGGUUUACGGUUACUGUCGUGUGAUUGCUGCAACGUGAAUAAAACAUGGCACAUUUUUCAUCGCCAAUGCCAAGUCGAGAGUUUUUGUGGGAUAUAUUUUCAAGAGUUGACAGGGACAGGAGUGGGUACAUAUCAGCUGAUGAGUUGCAGGUGGCACUGUCAAAUGGAACAUGGACCCCAUUUAAUCCAGAGACAGUUCGGCUUAUGAUUGGAAUGUUCGACAAGCAGAAUAGAGGAACAGUGAGCUUCGAAGAUUUUGGUGCAUUGUGGAAAUAUGUCACAGACUGGCAAGGCUGCUUUCGUUCAUUUGAUUUUGACAACUCGGGCAACAUCGAUCGCAAUGAAUUCAAGACCGCACUUACUUCAUUUGGCUACAGGCUCAGUGAUAGUGUCAUUGAUAUGCUUGUUCGAAAAUAUGAUCGCUCUGGAAGAGGCAUCAUUUACUUUGAUGACUUCAUUCAGUGUUGCAUUGUACUCUAUACAUUGACCUCAGCCUUCCGGCAGUAUGAUACUGAUCAAGAUGGAGUUAUAACGAUUCAUUAUGAACAGUUCCUUGGCAUGGUAUUUAGUCUCAAGAUCUGAAUACCUGGAUCCACUUUUGUGUUAUAUGUGGAACACCUCUCAGAUAAGAUGCUGAAACAAAUAAUAAGUCAAAGGAACCUGCUGCCUACAUCUUCAGGACAGGAGAGGGCAACCUUUAUCUUCAGCUCAGAUCUCAAAUAUUGCUAACAGUUCUUUUCUUUCCACCUGUAAGUUACGUCUUCAAUGUCUGAUGCAUGUUUGGGUAAUUAAAGCAGUGAUUAUCAGACUUUGCAUCUUGCAUCUCACCAGUUACGUAGUUAAAAAAAGCCUUCACCCACCAUGGUAAAAAAAUAAAGUUUUUUUUUCCCCAAGAAGUAAAUUUUUACAGUUGUAAACAUUUCAGUGUUACAUUAAUGGAAGUUCAUACUGUAACAGUUUCUUACAAUAUGUUUUAUUGGAUUUUAUAAUUGUGUGAAAUUAUUAUAGUUCUGUUAGCAGAAAUAAGCUUAUAGUUAGCCAUUAAUGGGCCUUGGCUUACAGUAUAAGAAAGUUGUUGCAUAACUGCGUUAAUUGUUUCUUAAGAUUUGUAUGCUAUCCAGCUGAUUAUCAAGUACCACCAUUGGAAAACAUCCAACCAUAUGGUGAACAGAGGGUAAAGCAUCUGUUUCAUAUCUUUAAAUGGUGUUUCAUAGGAGAGCUUCAUUCU